rnacentral:rRNA from 1 species
CCUGGUGGCGAGUGGCGAACGGGUGAGUAAUAUAUCGGAACGUGCCCAGUAAUGGGGGAUAGCCCGGCGAAAGCCGGAUUAAUACCGCAUACGACCUACGGGUGAAAGCGGGGGACCUGAGAGGGCCUCGCGUUAUUGGAGCGGCCGAUAUCAGAUUAGCUAGUUGGUGGGGUAAAGGCCUACCAAGGCGACGAUCUGUAGCUGGUCUGAGAGGACGACCAGCCACACUGGGACUGAGACACGGCCCAGACUCCUACGGGAGGCAGCAGUGGGGAAUUUUGGACAAUGGGCGCAAGCCUGAUCCAGCCAUGCCGCGUGUGGGAAGAAGGCCUUCGGGUUGUAAACCACUUUUGUCAGGGAAGAAACGGUCUGGACUAAUAAUCUGGGCUAAUGGCGGUACCUGAAGAAUAAGCACCGGCUAACUACGUGCCAGCAGCCGCGGUAAUACGUAGGGUGCAAGCGUUAAUCGGAAUUACUGGGCGUAAAGCGUGCGCAGGCGGCUUUGCAAGACAGAUGUGAAAUCCCCGGGCUCAACCUGGGAACUGCAUUUGUGACUGCAUGGCUAGAGUACGGUAGAGGGGGAUGGAAUUCCGCGUGUAGCAGUGAAAUGCGUAGAUAUGCGGAGGAACACCGAUGGCGAAGGCAAUCCCCU